rnacentral:tRNA from 1 species
AUAAAUCAAAGCUAAAACAGAAGCACGCAGCUGUUACCUGCAAGAUUGUAGUCUUACUGAUUUG